AAUUAAUGAACUUGUUUAAGUGUAUACCUUGAAAGUAUAAAAAAGAAGAAUAACCCUUCUAUUAAUU
rnacentral:tRNA from 1 species